rnacentral:rRNA from 1 species
ACGGAAGGCAGCAGUGGGGAAUAUUGCACAAUGGGGGAAACCCUGAUGCAGCGACGCCGCGUGAGUGAAGAAGUAUUUCGGUAUGUAAAGCUCUAUCAGCAGGAAAGAAAAUGACGGUACCUGACUAAGAAGCCCCGGCUAACUACGUGCCAGCAGCCGCGGUAAUACGUAGGGGGCAAGCGUUAUCCGGAUUUACUGGGCGUAAAGGGAGCGUAGACGGCUUUGCAAGUCUGAAGUGAAAGCCCGGGGCUCAACCCCGGAACUGCUUUGGAAACUGUAGAGCUAGAGUGCAGGAGAGGUAAGUGGAAUUCCUAGUGUAGCGGUGAAAUGCGUAGAUAUUAGGAGGAACACCAGUGGCGAAGGCGGCUUACUGGACUGUAACUGACGUUGAGGCUCGAAGGCGUGGGGAGCAAACAGGAUUAGAUACCCUGGUA